CAACGAGGAGCUGCCGCCCGUGCCGCUGCCCGACUACACCGCCAUCCAGCCCUUCAGGAAGGCCUCCGUCCACCGGGCAGCGUCCAGCAUCAGCUCGCUAGCGUACAAGCGAGACGCGCUGGGGCAGUCACGGCCAACGAUAACACAGUCAGACGUGUUGUAUUAAACGAGUCAGCGAAUAGGAGAAGAUGCCUGAAGACGAGCGAUUUGAGUAUUAAGUGAUUAAGUUUAUGAAGUAUUUUCAUUGCAACAUGGAAUACCUAUACAUAAUAUUGUGUUCAAAAUGAUUCAAUGAUAGAUUUUGUUCUGUAUUAGAUUACUUGGUGAUGAUAAAAGAAUAUUAUGUAAUUAUUACGAUAUCUUCUUGGUUAAUUUGACGGUUGAUUAGUAUUUUUUCAGUUUUUUCGUGCAUAUUCCCUAUUGUUUCCAUCUAAUUAAUUUAAUGUGUGUAAUGCGAGGCAAUGUGCCAAAGUAUUGUAAAUAUUUUUAUACAAAAGGUAUUAUUGUUGAUGAUUUGUGUUAGGUAUAAGUUUGUUAAAGUUAAAAGUGUUUAAGAAGGGCGAGAAAUUCGAUGUUAAAGUAUCUCUCAAUUUAUCAAAACCUUUUGAAAAUGUGAAAAGUAAUUACCUAUCAGUCUGCAAAUAAACAUAAUUGUUUAUAUCAGCUUUCAGAUCUCAUUUUUGAUGAGAUACUGAUAAGCCUCGACGAUUUGCGCGACGAAUUAUUAUUUGCUCGUCCUACUUAAAUCUCAAGUUCGCAUUAUAAAUGUAAGUUUUGAUUAAUAAAUUUGAUUAUAAAAGGUC